GCCUAAUGGAUAAGGCGUUGGUCUUCGGAACCAAAGAUUGUGGGUUCGAGUCCCAC
rnacentral:tRNA from 1 species